UCGCAUGAAGCUGGAAUCGCUAGUAAUCGCGGAUCAGAAUGCCGCGGUGAAUACGUUCCCGGGUCUUGUACACACCGCCCGUCACACCAUGGGAGUCGGAAAUGCCCGAAGCCUGUGACCCAACCUGAGAGGGAGGGAGCAGCCGAAGGCAGGUCUGAUGACUGGGGUGAAGUCGUAACAAGGUAAC
rnacentral:rRNA from 1 species